ACACAUCCAGGUGGCCAUAUGGUGUAUCGGAUGAUUUACCAGGAACACAAUGUCUGGCAAUGGACGGCAGAUACAACUUCAAGUGGCAGGGAUUCUCCUGUGACAGACCUACUUACUUCUUAUGUGAAGAAAAGGUACCAUUCCGUUUAAACCAGACUCGUCCAGCUGUUGGCUAAAAGGAGGUAUAUAAAAAUAAAGACAUCAACAACAACAAAAAAGACAAUAUGGUUUAACAAAUGAUUUAUAUAGAGAUUUUAUUCACAUCAGAAAUGUCAGAGUUAAUUAAUAGAGUAUUUGACAACAGAGAAAAUAUUUAUUUCAGAAAUGUAAUAAAAUAAUUGUUAAUAUACAAUAAAGAAAAUAGUGUAAAAA